rnacentral:rRNA from 1 species
GACAGAGGGUGCAAACGUUGUUCGGAAUUACUGGGCGUAAAGCGUGUGUAGGCGGUCUCAUAAGUCGGGUGUGAAAGCCCCGGGCUCAACCCGGGAAGUGCACUCGAAACUGCGAGGCUAGAGUACUGGAGAGGUUGGUGGAAUUCCGAGUGUAGAGGUGAAAUUCGUAGAUAUUCGGAAGAACACCAGUGGCGAAGGCGGCUCACUGGACUGGUAUUGACGCUGAGGUGCGAAAGCGUGGGGAGCAAACAGG